AGGCUUUGAAGUGUGGACGCCAGUCUGCAUGGAGCCGACCUUGAAAUACCACCCUUUAAUGUUUGAUGUUCUAACGUGGACCCGUAAUCCGGGUUGCGGACAGUGUCUGGUGGGUAGUUUGACUGGGGCGGUCUCCUCCUAAAGAGUAACGGAGGAGCACGAAGGUUGGCUAAUCCUGGUCGGACAUCAGGAGGUUAGUGCAAUGGCAUAAGCCAGCUUGACUGCGAGCGUGACGGCGCGAGCAGGUGCGAAAGCAGGUCAUAGUGAUCCGGUGGUUCUGAAUGGAAGGGCCAUCGCUCAACGGAUAAAAGGUACUCCGGGGAUAACAGGCUGAUACCGCCCAAGAGUUCAUAUCGACGGCGGUGUUUGGCACCUC
rnacentral:rRNA from 1 species